rnacentral:rRNA from 1 species
UUGACCUCAAAUCAGGUAGGACUACCCGCUGAACUUAAGCAUAUCAAUAAGCGGAGGAAAAGAAACUAACAAGGAUUCCCUUAGUAACUGCGAGUGAAGAGGGAAAAGCUCAAAUUUAAAAUCUGGCAGUGUUUUGCUGUCCGAGUUGUAACCUAGAGAAGUGUAGCCUGUGCUGGACCGUGUACAAGUCUCCUGGAAUGGAGCAUCGCAGAGGGUGAGAAUCCCGUCUUUGACAUGGACUACCAGUGCAUUGUGGUUGCGCUCUCAACGAGUCGAGUUGUUUGGGAAUGCAGCUCUAAAUGGGUGGUAAAUUCCAUCUAAAGCUAAAUAUUGGCGAGAGACCGAUAGCGAACAAGUACCGUGAGGGAAAGAUGAAAAGAACUUUGGAAAGAGAGUUAAACAGUAUGUGAAAUUGUUGAAAGGGAAACGUUUGAAGUCAGUCGCGUUGGCUGGGGAUCAACCUGACCAUUUGGUUGGGUGUACUUCCUGGUUGAUGGGUCAACAUCAGUUUUGACUGCCAGAAAAAGGCAGAGGGAAUGUGGCACCUUUUAGGUGUGUUAUAGCUCUCUGUCAUAUAUGGUGGUUGGGACUGAGGAAAGCAGCGUGCCGAAAGGCCGGGUUUCGACCACGUUCAC